rnacentral:rRNA from 1 species
UACAGAGGUCCCAAGCGUUGUUCGGAUUCAUUGGGCGUAAAGGGUGCGUAGGCGGCGCGGUAAGUCGGGUGUGAAAUCUCGGAGCUUAACUCCGGAACUGCAUUCGAUACUGCCGUGCUUGAGGACUGGAGAGGAGACUGGAAUUUACGGUGUAGCGGUGAAAUGCGUAGAUAUCGUAAGGAAGACCAGUGGCGAAGGCGGGUCUCUGGACAGUUCCUGACGCUGAGGCACGAAGGCCAGGGGAGCAAACGGG